UACAGAGGGUGCAAGCGUUGUUCGGAAUUAUUGGGCGUAAAGCGCGUGUAGGCGGCUUUGCAAGUCGGGUGUGAAAGCCCUCAGCUCAACUGAGGAAGUGCGCCCGAAACUGCAUGGCUUGAGUACCGGAGAGGAUGGUGGAAUUCCCCAAGUAGAGGUGAAAAUUCGUAGAUAUGGGGGAGGAACACCGGUGGCGAAGGCGACCAUCUGGACGGAUACUGACGCUGAGACGCGAAAGCGUGGGUAGCAAACAGG
rnacentral:rRNA from 1 species